rnacentral:rRNA from 1 species
UACGGGGGGGGCAAGCGUUGUUCGGAAUUACUGGGCGUAAAGGGCUCGUAGGCGGCCAACUAAGUCAGACGUGAAAUCCCUCGGCUUAACCGGGGAACUGCGUCUGAUACUGGAUGGCUUGAGUUUGGGAGAGGGAUGCGGAAUUCCAGGUGUAGCGGUGAAAUGCGUAGAUAUCUGGAGGAACACCGGUAGCGAAGGCGGCAUCCUGGACCAACACUGACGCUGAGUGAGCGAAAGCCAGGGGAGCAAACGGG